rnacentral:lncRNA from 1 species
GGUUACUUUCCGCACCAGAAUCUAUCACUGCAACAUCAACAGUCAGGGAGUCAUCUGUCUGGACAUCCUUAAAGACAACUGGAGUCCCGCUUUGACUAUUUCAAAGGUUUUGCUGUCUAUUUGUUCCCUUUUGACAGACUGCAACCCUGCGGAUCCUCUGGUUGGAAGCAUAGCCACUCAGUAUUUGACCAACAGAGCAGAACACGACAGGAUAGCCAGACAGUGGACCAAGAGAUACGCAACAUAAUUCACAUAAUUUGUAUGCAGUGUGAAGGAGCAGAAGGCAUCUUCUCACUGUGCUGCAAAUCUUUAUAGCCUUUACAAUACGGACUUCUGUGUAUAUGUUAUACUGAUUCUACUCUGCUUUUAUCCUUUGGAGCCUGGGAGACUCCCCAAAAAGAUUGAAGUUUAUUAAUUGCUGAG